rnacentral:rRNA from 1 species
AGAAUCAACGCUGGCGGCGUGCCUAACACAUGCAAGUCGAACGAGAAAGUGGAGCAAUCCAUGAGUAAAGUGGCGACCGGGUGAGUAACACGUGACUAACCUACCUUUCAGUGGGGAAUAACCUCGGGAAACCGGGGCUAAUACCGCAUAAUGUCUUCGGACCAAAGGAGCAAUUCGCUGGAAGAGGGGGUCGCGGCCGAUUAGCUAGUUGGCGGGGUAACGGCCCACCAAGGCAAUGAUCGGUAGCCGGCCUGAGAGGGCGCACGGCCACACUGGAACUGAAACACGGUCCAGACUCCUACGGGAGGCAGCAGUGGGGAAUUUGCGCAAUGGGGAACCCUGACGCAGCAACGCCGCGUGGAGGAUGAAGCCCCUUGGGGUGUAAACUCCUUUCGAUCGGGACGAUUAUGACGGUACGGAUGAAGAGCACCGGCUAACUCUGUGCCAGCAGCCGGC